AGGUGUCAAUCCAAAUGGGUGUGA
rnacentral:siRNA from 1 species